rnacentral:tRNA from 1 species
ACGCGGUCGUGGAAGUGGUUGGACGACAGCCCGGGCUCGAACUCCGGGUGCUCGGCCGGCGCCGGCACGCGCUUGAUCGUCACCCGGUACUGCGCC